UACGAAGGGGGCUAGCGUUGUUCGGAUUUACUGGGCGUAAAGCGCACGUAGGCGGAUUGUUAAGUCGGGGGCGAAAUCCUGGAGCUCAACUCCAGAAUUGCCUUCGAUACUGGCUUUCUAGAGGCUGGAAGAGGUUAGUGGAAUUCCCAGUGUAGAGGUGAAAUUCGUAGAUAUUGGGAAGAACACCAGUGGCGAAGGCGGCUAACUGGUCCAGAUCUGACGCUGAGGUGCGAAAGCGUGGGGAGCAAACAGG
rnacentral:rRNA from 1 species